rnacentral:rRNA from 1 species
GACGAACGCUGGUGGCGUGCUUAAUACAUGCAAGUCGAACGGACAUUAGUAAACAUUACCCUCGUGGCGAGAGUACUGAUGAGGUUGGCAAACCGUGGAGUAACGCCUUAUCAGCCUGCGUUUAACAGUGGGAUAGGCUCGUGAAACCGGAUAUAAUACCGCAUCACAUCGUACAAACGCAAGUGUUAACUUUCAAGGAUUUAUUGGUCAUAGAUGGGCUCGAGUCUGAUUAUCUAGUUGGUGAGAUAACAGCACACCAAGGCGACGAUCAGUAGCCGGUCUGAGAGGAUGAACGGACACAUUGGAACUGAGACACGGUCCAAACUCCUACGGGAGGCAGCAGUGGGGAAUAUUGCACAAUGGGGGAAACCAUGAUGCAGCGACGACGCGUGAACGAAGAAGGUAUUCGUAUCGUAAAGUUCUGUCAUAUGGGAAGAUAAUGACAGUACCAUAGAAGAAAGCUCCGGCUAAAUACGUG